GACGAACGCUGGCGGCGUGCCUAAUACAUGCAAGUUGAGCGAUGAAGAUUGGUGCUUGCACCAAUUUGAAGAGCAGCGAACGGGUGAGUAACGCGUGGGGAAUCUGCCUUUGAGCGGGGGACAACAUUUGGAAACGAAUGCUAAUACCGCAUAACAACUUUAAACAUAAGUUUUAAGUUUGAAAGAUGCAAUUGCAUCACUCAAAGAUGAUCCCGCGUUGUAUUAGCUAGUUGGUGAGGUAAAGGCUCACCAAGGCGAUGAUACAUAGCCGACCUGAGAGGGUGAUCGUCCACAUUGGGACUGAGACACGGCCCAAACUCCUACGGGAGGCAGCAGUAGGGAAUCUUCGGCAAUGGACGAAAGUCUGACCGAGCAACGCCGCGUGAGUGAAGAAGGUUUUCGGAUCGUAAAACUCUGUUGGUAGAGAAGAACGUUGGUGAGAGUGGAAAGCUCAUCAAGUGACGGUAACUACCCAGAAAGGGACGGCUAACUACGUG
rnacentral:rRNA from 1 species